rnacentral:snoRNA from 1 species
UGAUGGCUGUUCCUCCUCGCUGCUGAAGCCGUAGCCAAUGAAGAUUUUGGUCCAUCAAAUAGCCAAACUGACCUUGUCUUCACUUCGAGAGCCACCAUGGAUGGGUUGGCCUGUCCAGUAGUGCUUUCUGAUUUUUGCGGAAGUCACACAAUG